rnacentral:tRNA from 1 species
GCACUCUUAGCUUAAUGGAAGAGCAUCGGUCUUCUAAGCCGUAGGUUACAGGUUCGAGUCCUGUAGAGUGCA